UCCAGGCCCUACGGGGUGCAGCAGGCGCGAAACCUCCGCAAUGUGAGAAAUCGCGACGGGGGGAUCCCAAGUGCCAUUCUUAACGGGAUGGCUUUUCAUUAGUGUAAAGAGCUUUUGGAAUAAGAGCUGGGCAAGACCGGUGCCAGCCGCCGCGGUAACACCGGCAGCUCUAGUGGUAGCAGUUUUUAUUGGGCCUAAAGCGUCCGUUGCCGGUUUAAUAAGUCUCUGGUGAAAUCCUGCAGCUUAACUGUGGGAAUUGCUGGAGAUACUAUUAGACUUGAGAUCGGGAGAGGUUAGAGGUACUCCCAGGGUAGAGGUGAAAUUCUGUAAUCCUGGGAGGACCGCCUGUUGCGAAGGCGUCUGACUGGAACGAUUCUGACGGUGAGGGACGAAAGCUAGGGGCGCGAACCGGAUUAGAUACCCGGGUAGUCCUAGCUGUAAACGAUGCGGACUUGGUGUUGGGGUGGCUUUGAGCUGUCCCAGUGCCGAAGGGAAGCUGUUAAGUCCGCCGCCUGGGAAGUACGGUCGCAAGACUGAAACCUAAAGGAAUUGGCGGGGGAGCACCACAACGCGUGGAGCCUGCGGUUUAAUUGGAGUCAACGCCGG
rnacentral:rRNA from 1 species